rnacentral:rRNA from 1 species
AACGAACGCUGGCGGCAUGCCUAACACAUGCAAGUCGAACGAGACCUUCGGGUCUAGUGGCGUACGGGUUCGUAACGCGUGGGAACCUGCCCUUAGGUUCGGAAUAACUCAGAGAAAUUUGAGCUAAUACCGGAUGAUGUCUUCGGACCAAAGAUUUAUCGCCUUUAGAUGGGCCCGCGUUGGAUUAGCUAGUUGGUGGGGUAAAGGCCUACCAAGGCGACGAUCCAUAGCUGGUCUGAGAGGAUGAUCAGCCACACUGGGACUGAGACACGGCCCAGACUCCUACGGGAGGCAGCAGUGGGGAAUAUUGGACAAUGGGCGAAAGCCUGAUCCAGCAAUGCCGCGUGAGUGAUGAAGGCCUUAGGGUUGUAAAGCUCUUUUACCCGAGAUGAUAAUGACAGUAUCGGGAGAAUAAGCUCCGGCUAACUCCGUG